GGUUUGUAGCUCAGUGUUGAGCUCUUGCCUUGUAUGCAAGAGGCACUGGGUUCAAUCCUCAGCACCA
rnacentral:tRNA from 1 species